rnacentral:misc_RNA from 1 species
CACACAUCAUCCGACCCAUCACUGCCCACAACACCAAAGACAAGGAGGCAAGGAGAGAACGACUAAUAUCUUUCGUUCUUUAUAUAUUACUCACUGAGAGAUCCCAUUUUCAUCAAAUCAAAAUUUCCCAGAUCCAAAAAUCGCUGCUCAUCUCCCCACUAACAAUGGGAUUCCCAUCAAACGGCACGGCAUCAGAUACCAGCAAGCCACUCAAGUUCCUCAUCUACGGCCGCACCGGCUGGAUAGGUGGUCUCUUGGGGAAGCUCUGCGAGUCUCAGGGCAUCGACUACACCUACGGCUCCGGUCGCCUGGAAAACAGAGUCUCCCUCGAAGCUGACAUCGUCAACGUCAAGCCUAGUCAUGUAUUCAACGCUGCCGGUGUCACUGGCCGGCCUAACGUCGACUGGUGCGAGUCUCACAAGGUCGAGACCAUUCGGACCAAUGUGGUCGGGACGCUCACGUUGGCUGACGUGUGCAGAGAAAAGGGUUUGAUUUUGAUUAAUUAUGCUACGGGCUGUAUUUUCGAGUACGACACGAAUCACCCUCUCGGGUCGGGCAUCGGGUUCAAGGAGGAGGAUACCCCGAAUUUCAUCGGAUCCUUUUACUCGAAGACCAAGGCCAUGGUAAGUAAAUGCUGUGAUUGUUUAAUUUCAUGAUCUAAUAGCAUGAAACGUUAAUUUGAAUCGUAGAUUUGUAAGAAAUAUUAGAUACUAUUAGUUUCAGUAUAGCAAUGUUCUAUGUGAUGUGCUGGAUCUAGCAAUUUCAUGGCGGAUCUAGCUAAGUUUGAUGAUCACUGCAAUUUUCUUUAAUGGGAGAUCUAUGGAUGAUAUGUAGAUUUGACGUAGAAAUGAACAUUUGCAACAAUUGUGAAUAGACAAUGAUGUUAUUUCUCUCAUGUUAUUAAUUGUGUAGUAGUUCUAAUUUGAGUCCUUUUUUGCUAUGUGAAAGGUGGAAGAGUUGCUCAAGAAUUACGAAAAUGUCUGUACCUUGCGUGUCAGAAUGCCCAUUUCAUCUGAUCUAUCUAAUCCCCGCAACUUCAUCACAAAGAUCACUCGAUAUGAGAAGGUAGUUAAUAUUCCAAACUCUAUGACAAUCUUGGAUGAACUGCUUCCCAUUUCCAUUGAGAUGGCAAAGAGGAACCUCACUGGAAUCUGGAACUUUACAAACCCUGGGGCAGUCAGUCACAAUGAGAUUUUAGAGAUGUAUAAGGAUCAUGUUGACCCCAACUUCACAUGGAAAAACUUCACUCUUGAGGAGCAGGCAAAAGUAAUAGUUGCCCCAAGGAGUAAUAAUGAGCUUGAUGCCGCCAAAUUGAGUAAGGAAUUCCCUGAAAUGUUGCCAAUAAAGGAGUCCCUUAUCAAGUUUGUGUUCAAACCAAAUCAGAAGACUGCUGCUGCUUGAUGCAUCAAAUCAGAGGCCCAAAUUACUGUCCAUUAAGGGAUCUCUUGUUAAGUAUGUUUCAAACCAAUGAAAUGCCACUGGUUUAUAGGUUUGACAUUUUUGUCUUCCCUUUUGCUAUUGAUUACAUCUCGUUCAUGAGGGUUCAUGUGAUGCCUCACAGGUACCUCUUUCCAAAUGACACACAUGAUUGCACCUAUUAAUAUUUGAAUGUUGUAUUUGUAACUUGAUCUUGAAUAAAUUAGUUGCAAGUGAUUUAUCAGGUUAUAAAUAUAAUUUUGAUAGUUCAUUACUAUUGUAUGGCAUGAGCAGCCUUAAUUACUUUUGGAAAAAAUAAUCGUAUUUGUUUUGGUUUUGGAGUUUUCUUAUUGGUUUGAUCCAUUGUCAUUGCUUUAGACAGUAAAUGUUAGAGGAGCAUUUUCUAACAAUUUUUCGAAGCUCGAUUAAUUAUUAGAUUGUUAUCUCCACAAUUAUACUGUUUUUAUUGCAAACCAUGAUUCAUACUCUCCUUUUUAUUUAAUUUUGUAAGUGUGAACUUCCCAACUAAUAUUUUCUGAUUAUUUUGUUGAAGGAUUUAUCGAGUUGGGGCAAGCAGAUAUUAAGUGUAUGAUUUAACCUUUUUUUUUUUAUAUACUUUAUUUGUGUGAAAUGAUUUGGUUCAUUUGGGAGUAGAAAUUGUGUAGAAAAACUGUAUGUAUGUUGCUAUACACUCAUUUUGCAGUGGUGUUGUUCCUUUUGGCACUAUUUGAAUCAAUAUUUUCUUUCCUGGCUACAGAAAAAAAAGGAAAGAUGCUCUGUUCUUUAUCUGAUGGCUGGAGCCUGCUGGACGAUUUUUAGAAACUGUUUCUGCUAAUUGGGCCUUUUUUUUUUUUUUGGCAAUGGACCAUCUGGCCUACUGGUUAGCUGGUUUCGUGCGAUUUGCCGCCAGUGUAUUGUGAUAAAUGACUGACAAGCUGCAGAGGGAAAAAGGACCUAACUUGCACAUUCUCAAAAGGCCUUUUCCGGGUAAAUAUCAUAAAGCAAUCACAACUGCAGACAGAUACAGGCCAAACCAUCUGAAAAGCAACGAAAUUCUUGUGCAGAAUUUAGUUGCGUCCAAGGAUGCCAUUCUUGUGAUACAUGGAAGGACCAUCGAAUUUGGUUGUUUUCCAAGGAAUGCCAUGGGAAGAAUUAGCAGCUCCAGGGGGAAUAUUGAACACAAUUAAUGGGCUUCUCACCACAUGAAACCCAUCUUUCCAUGUGAUUGCACCUGACAUGAUUGGUUGCUGCAUUAGCUUUGGGCCGUUCACCUUCACUGUGAAGCUUCUCUUCUCUCCUAUUGCAGAGAAUGAGAGAACAGGAGGCUCCACAGUGACACUAACCAUGCUUGGCAUGUACAUGUUGAGAAUGUAGGAUGAAUUUGGUGUGCCAACAUUGGUAACUGUCCUAGUAAAGACUCCCUCAACGGGUUGGCCAUCUUCCACAGCUAAAGCAAAUGUGGGGUAAUUAAGGUCCCAAGCUCUUCCAGGCUCUGAGCUAUUACAAACGCUACUGUUGCUGCCAGUAAUCCAUCGGACGGUGGUACUGUUGUAACCCUGCUUGCAGAGAAAGUUAGUGUAGUCUGCUUCAGAUGCAUCGUAAACAAGUCCAGGUUCUACCGCUUGCAAUGGAUUGAUGUGGCCAGACCCAUAAGCGAAUUCAAGGUCCCUGUGCUUCCUCGAGUCCAUGAUGUAAGCUGUUUGUAGAAACAAAACAGUUUAGAUGGGGAGACCAGAUAAAAUUCUUUGUAGUUGUGUUAGCAAAAUCUUAUCAAUACAAGAAAAUAACAAAGUUUUCUACCUGUGGUCAUGAGGGCGGACUUAAUGGCAGCAGCAGACCAGUCAGGGUGUGCAGCCUUGACAUAGGCGGCAGCACUAGUGGCGUGAGGGCAAGACACAGAUGUGCCUGACACUAUGUUGAACUUCACACUCCUUGAGUCCUCCCAGUAAAUAGAAGGUGGUGCCAAAGGAGACCAGGAAGCAAGGAUGUCCACACCCGGAGCAGUGAGAUCAGGCUGUGUACUUGUGUAAAAGUUCGAGAAAAAUACUCAAAGAUAGAAAGAAAGAACUGUUGUGAAUCAAAGCUUCCAAAUCUCUUGAUUACCUUGAGAAUGUCUAGGGUGAUAGGGUGGGGUCCUCUCGGAGAGAAUGAUGCAAUGCAAGGGGCCAUGACAUCCUUCCAAGUCUCACCAACCAGAAUAGUUGCAAUAGGAUUGCUGAAAUAAAACUUGUAAGGGAUAAUUGAAAGCAACAUCAGUGAUAGAUGAAUCAGCCAUAAUGGCACCAACACCAUUAGCUAAAAGAAUGCCAGAACCAUCCCAAAGGGUUUCACAGAAGACCAUUUUCCCAGCUACCUUGUAUGAAUUCAUAUAUCCAGGUAUGCAAUAUCUUGAAAUGUCUGAGUUAGCACCUGCUGAGUAGUUUGCUGCAUCUCCUCCCCAAAUCAAAGGAUAUGAGGUCUCAUUAAGCUCAAAGCUAUUAAUGGAGAGUCCCUUUUUCAUAUCAUCAAAAUAUCAUUUAAAUUACUUGUGGAAUCAGCCAAAGAUUAAUGAGAGAUCUAUUUUUAACAAUCUAUAACUUCGCUAGUGAACUCACAGUGUAGAUUUUUCCAUUUCCAAGCACAGCUUUUGCCACAAAUUUCCUGUCAAUGGUGCUAGCAGCAACCGUCAACAGCCAUGGUGCAGAAUUGGAGACUGUAUAUGGAUAGGGUCCAGUAUUGCCAGCAGAAGUUGAGGUCAGUAUGCCAUAUCUCAUGGCAUGCAAGGCUCCAAUGGCGAUUGGGUCUAUGAAGUAUGCUGACGCCCAGUCAUCACCAAGGGAUACAGAUAUAAUGUCAACACCAUCAGCGAUGGCAUCAUCAAAGGCUGCCAUGAUAUCUGUGCUAGAACAUCCAAACGACCAACAAACUUUGUAGACAGCAAUCCUUGCAUUGGGAACUCCACCUCUUGCAAUUCCUUCAGCAAGCCCCAAGUAACUUGCUCCAGGCACCUCUCGUCCUGCUGCAGUAGAAGAAGUGUGGGUUCCAUGUCCCUCAGAGUCUCUAGGAGAUUUGAUGUCAAUCACAUCAUACUGGUUCAGGCUGUUGUAGUACCGGGCUCCUAUGAUCUUGCUGUAAUAAUUUUGCAUAUGGAAAUGUCACUAGUUGAGUCAAGCAUCAGAGUUAAAUACGUGUUGUGUGUGUAUGCUCUUCAACCUUCAUGGUACUAAAUAAUUAUUUAUAGAGAUGAAGAAGCUCACUUGUUGCAGGUGAAGUUAGCACCCUGGCAUGUUCCUUUCCAUUUAGCAGGAGGAGCACUCAUUCCUUCAUCAUCGAAGCUCUCAGAUUCUGGCCAUAUUCCUGUAAGAUAAAGAAUCCGAAAGCUCCAAUUAGUAGCACAUCAUCAAUCACAUUUUUCUGCAGAGUGAUCGAAGAAAAACCUGUAUCCAGAAGACCAAUAAUGACACGUCCUUCUUGAGAAGGUCCAAGUUUGCCUUGGGAGAAACCCAUGAAGUCCCAAGACCUUGUAGUGUGAAGCUUGAGUAUGCGGUUUGGAAUUACAGAGAUCACACCUUCCAUUUCUGUAGCAAUUUUGAAUUUUCAUUUAAUACUAGACACUAAAUCUGCGUUUUGCACGGGUA